GGGAGCGUAGCUCAGAUGGUAGAGCGUUCGCUUAGUAUGCGAGAGGUACGCGGAUCAAUACCCCGUGCUUCCA